AUGGGGAACAUCAUUUCUACUCAUACUCCAUUGGCUCACUUACCUGCAAAGACUCUGAGAAAUGAGUCCUGCAGUGUGCCCAGGAGGAAGAGAGACACUGGUGAGCACAAACAUUCUCCGCUGCAAUUGGCAACACUCCCAGCCAAAUCAUUACGUAACCACCUCUGCUCCAGCUGUGAUCAGGUGAAUAAUCUUUGUACACUUGGACUGCAUUUUGAAGUGUUGAUUACUGGCAGGAUUCUCUGGUCAUCUUAUCCUACAUGAUUCUUCCUCCACUUCUAUCAACAUGGAGUUUUGUACUCAGCAAAUAAAAAUCUUUCAAAACUGAGGACCAAAACAAACAAACAAAAAAAGACAUUUUUUAUAUUAAAAAACCAAGAGACUUUGCUGGUAGCAAAUUAAAACUACAAUAAAUGGUUAAAUGAAGGAACAUGAUAUCAAUUGGAAAUGUAGAUUUCCACAAAGGAAUUGAGGACAUUUGAUAUUAUAAAAAUGUAGGUAAGUAUAAAAGAAGUUUAUUUUUCUUAGUUUUAAAAACAUUAAGGAGUAAUUGACUUUUUAAAGCAAAACUAGUAACAACGUAUUGAGGAGUUUACAACAUGGAGAAAAGGAGUAGCAAAAGACUGUUGUAAGAUUCCUAGAAAUGUAUGUGAAGUACAGUAUUAUUAUUUGAUUGUAGACUGUGAUAACUUAAAGAUGUAGAGAGUAAAUAUUAGAGCAAUUACAAAAAAAGAUGUAAAACAAAUAGUGGCGAUAAAAUUGAAUAAUAAAAAAACUAUUACAUUGUUUCCAAUUGUUCUCUUGAAGAUAGCAAAAAAAAGAGAAAGAGAGAGAGAGAGAGAUGGGACAAAUGGAUACCAAUCAGGAAGAUAAGAGAUUUAAACUCAAACAUUUUAAUAAUUACAUUAGAUGCAUUUACAUUCAGUUGAAAGACAGAUAUUGUCAUAGUGGAUUAAAAAAUAUAGGCCUGGCACAGUGGUUCACACCUGUAAUCCCAGCACUUUGGGAAGCUGAGGUGGGCAGAUCACAGGAUUGAGACCAUCCUAGUCAACAAGAUGAAACCCCAUCUCUAUUAAAAAUAAAAAAACUAGCUGGGUGUGGCGUGCACGCCUGUAAUCCCAGUUACUCGGAAGGCUGAGGCGGGAGAAUCUCUUGAACCUGAGAGGUGGAGGUUGCAGUGAGCCGAGAUUGUGCCACUGAACUCCAGCCUGGCGACAGAGUUAAACUCCGUCUCGG
rnacentral:lncRNA from 1 species